GGCUUCGUGGUGUAGUGGUCAGCACGCUGGACGCGUAACCGAGAGGUCCGUGGUUCGAUUCCCGGCGAAGGUG
rnacentral:tRNA from 1 species